AGGGGUUUUNAUCAUGGCUCAGGACGAACGCUGGCGGCGUGCCUAAUACAUGCAGGUCGAGCGGACUUUAAAAGCUUGCUUUUAAAGUUAGCGGCGGACGGGUGAGUAACACGUGGGCAACCUGCCUGUAAGACUGGGAUAACUUCGGGAAACCGGAGCUAAUACCGGAUAAUCCUUUUCUACUCAUGUAGAAAAGCUGAAAGACGGUUUACGCUGUCGCUUACAGAUGGGCCCGCGGCGCAUUAGCUAGUUGGUGAGGUAACGGCUCACCAAGGCAACGAUGCGUAGCCGACCUGAGAGGGUGAUCGGCCACNCUGGGACUGAGACACGGCCCANACUCCUACGGGAGGCAGCAGUAGGGUAAUCUUUCCGCAAUGGACGAAAGUCUGACGGAGCAACGCCGCGUGAGUGAUGAAGGUUUUCGGAUCGUUAAAAAUUCUGUUGUUUAGGGGAAA
rnacentral:rRNA from 1 species